rnacentral:lncRNA from 1 species
GACUUUGAGAGUUCCGCUUAUGGCUGCAGGGUCAACCAAUUUGUUGUUGGGACCCUGGAGCUGAAUGGCUUUCCUGUCUGUCGAUCCUUGGCUCAGCCCAGAAGUACAGGAAAAGCGGAAGCUGGUUCCAGACAAACCAACGCUCUCAACUCUGAAGAGUCAGGAGUUGUUAGAGAGCCUUUUCUCAGAAAGCCUGACACCCGUGUCUUUAGUCUGGCAUCCAUGCUAGUCACUUUUAACUGGCCAAUAGGUGCCUGGUAUUUAGUCCCCAAAUUCUAAGGAAAAAUAAGACAGAAUAGCAAGCAAAAGGGGUCUGAUGGUACUCACCACUUGGUGAUAGGCGACAGUCCCAUCUGGGUCACCAAAAUAUGUCUGGAAUUGGUUCCUUCCAGUGGGUUCUUGGUCUCACUGACUUCAAGAAUGAAGCCGCGGACCCUCGCACAUGAUUGUGAGGCCUCCCCACCCACAUGGAAUGCUAUGUGAAGAUUGUGCCUGCUUCCUCUUUGCCUUCCACCAUGAUUGGAAGUUUCCUGAGACCUUCCCAGCAGCAGAAGCCUAUACAGUCUGCAGAACUGUGAGCAGAUUAAACCUCUUUUCUUAAUAAAUUACCCAGUCUCAGAGUUCCCCAGCUAUCCCCCAGUGGCUUGGAGAUUCCCAUUUCAAGAGUGUAGAGUUCUACCCAGAAGGUGGCUGCGUGGACAGUGACUACAUUCUCAGCUCCAUGCCUAUUUGGAUGGUCUGAGGCCUUCACUCCUCACCCUUCCUGGAUGUGGUUGCGCCAGAGGGGAUGAUUUAGUGAGCAGAUGGUACCAGGAAAACCAAGGGUAUUGCAUCCAGCUGUGUGUACACAGAUUGGUGAAUUCAAGCCUCUGAUCUAGGAUCUGAAAUAAAAAUCAGAAUAAGCGAAAA